rnacentral:tRNA from 1 species
UGAGGUCUUAGUUUAAUUAAAGCAGUUGAGUUGCAGUCAAUGGAUGUAAAUUAAAGUUUUACAGAUCU